rnacentral:rRNA from 1 species
GAGUUUUGAUCAUGGCUCAGGAUGAACGCUAGCUACAGGCUUAACACAUGCAAGUCGAGGGGAAACGACAUCGAAAGCUUGCUUUUUGAUGGGCGUCGACCGGCGUACGGGUGAGUAACGCGUAUCCAACCUGCCCACCACUUGGGGAUAACCUUGCGAAAGUAAGACUAAUACCCAAUGAUAUCUCUAGAAGACAUCUGAAAGAGAUUAAAGAUUUAUCGGUGAUGGAUGGGGAUGCGUCUGAUUAGCUUGUUGGCGGGGUAACGGCCCACCAAGGCGACGAUCAGUAGGGGUUCUGAGAGGAAGGCCCCCCACAUUGGAACUGAGACACGGUCCAAACUCCUACGGGAGGCAGCA